AUCUUUUUAGUAAAAUUUAUUAUAUUAUCUUGAUAAGAUAGAGUUCUUUGUGAAAAGAUA
rnacentral:tRNA from 1 species